ensembl:lncRNA
ACAGAGGCAGAUAUGAACAGAGGGAAGAUUAUGUGAUGAGAAUAGGAGAAUGCCACAAGACAAGGACACCAUGGACUAACAGCAGCUGGAAGACACAGAGAACGAUCCUCCCUGUCAGGUUUCAGAGAGAGCACUGCCUGCUGACAUCUUGAUGUUAGACUUCUAGCCUCUGAAAUGGUUCUAGAAGUCAGUAGCAUUCCUUGGCUUGUGAAAUCCUUCCUCCAUCUUCAAAUCCAAAAACAGAUAAUCUCCCUAUUUUAAGGUCAUCUGAUUAGGAACUUCAAUGCCAUCUGGAAUCUUCAUUCCCCAUUGCCCAUCUUCCCAAAUUAUUAUUUUAGCAGGAAGAAUGUGUUUCCAAAAGUGGCAGUCUGCUCCAUUGCUGAAUGGGAAAAUCCACAGAAGCAGAAGCAGAUUAUUGGUACCGGGGACUGGAGAUACAGGGCUGUAUAAGUGACUGCCUAAUGCAUAUGGAGUUUGCUCUUGGAGCAUCAAAAAAGUCUCAUAACUAAGCAGAGAUCCAGGUCCAGCACUGACCACAGGGGAUCCAUGACCCCUUCUUCCAUCCAAGAGCACCAGUGGACACGUAUUCUGCAGCCUUCAUAGUAAGUUGUUUCUGGCAAGAGAAGGACAACAAACUGCUAAAGGAACAAGGAUAGACUCCGCUUCUUAAAUAUUGGCAAACAGGCAGCGAGGGCUGGAGACACUUUCUCAGGUCAGUACACAGACAAAACAAAAAUAUCUGAUGGACUCUCAAAUUGGUCUAGGAGCUAAACACAGCAAGCAACACUCCAGUUAAUAUAAAGAAGGCUUCCAACAGAAACCAAGAGGAGAGCAAGGAGAAAUGCACAGAACUUGCCCGUUCUGUUGAAAGACAAACUUGAGGCCUAAACUAGCUUCUAAAUGAAGGACGAGAGAACAUUUCAAUAAAUAAAUACCUACAUAAAAUAAAAUGGUAACCCUAUAAAAACAUUGAGUAACAUAAAAUUAGAAACUUUUUAUUCAACACUUUCAGGGAAGGCUCUAGAAAAGGAGCAAAAUAAUCUUCUCCGUUUUCUUAAUGCAUUUCAUGAAACAAGGAUGUUCAUGGCAUGAACGUUGAGAACGUUUGGGCAAUAGACCUUAGCAAAGAGUUGGCCAGGGAGAAAGUACAGAUGGCAAGAGAGCUGGAUUUAAUAAAGAAAGGUGAAAGACAGUGACAGAAUUUGUUACUUUUAGAAUCUUUAAAGUAAAGAACAGGACUGCUACCAGAGAAAUCAAAGCAGUGACAUUGGAGGCCGUUCGAAGAGUCAGAACAAAACAUGAAACAUGAAUGAGAACAUGGGACGUGAGCAGGAUCGACUAGAGAUCUAAGCCGUGAUAACUGGGAAAGUAAGAUAGCAGCAGGGACUAGAAGAAUUUCUUGAAGAAGAGAACUAUCUUGAGUUGAAUAAAUCCAUUAAGUACCAACAAAAGUAUAAUUAAAAUAAACUAAUAUCCAGAUAGAUCAGGUGAAAUUUUCACUUCAAGGGCAAGAAAAACAAUGCUAGAAAUAUCCAAUUUGAAAAAUGAAGAAGGUCAGUUUGAAAUACAAAUGUUGCAGACAAAUGGAAAAAAAUAUAUCAGAAUGACUUCAGUAUUCUUUUUUCUUUGAGGAGGAAAAGUUGAAAAUGGAAAAUUUUCUUCAGAAGUAAAAGCACUUGUCUCUGAUUUGGUUUCCCCUUUCCAAGUGCAGCUAAGAUUGCAAUUCUAUGCCUGUUUAAACUUCGUGUAGGUGAAGUUGUAAUGAUAAAAUGAAAAUAGGUAGUCAGGGGCCAGCCCGGUGGCCCCUCAGUUGGUAUUGUUUAGUGACAAAAAUUGGCAAACUCAAAUAACUUUGACUCAACAAGAAAUAGCUUUCCCUCUCUCUCUGUAAGAAUUCUGGAGGUCAGCCAUCCAGGGCAGGUCAGGCGAGUCCUUCUUCACCAUCCUUAGAUUGAGGUCUAUAUUCUCAAGGAGGAAGAAUGGAAAGACAACAAGUUGUCUGCCUCCCAGCUGAAUUAGCCCCUUUAAAAAAAUAAUUUUCUGUGAUCACCACCUCAGAAAUUCUGCUUUUAUCUCAAUGGUUGAAAGAGCCUAAAAUGGAAUCUGAGAAGUAUACUUUUACAGAUGGGCACAUCCUUGUCCCUGACUUUACAGGAACAGAGUCCUAAGGAAGAACAGGGCAAGGGACAAUGAGUAGAUAACUUUCAGCCUUGACUUUUCGAAUGGUCCCCAUCACUACUAUUGUGACUAGGUUCUUCCCGCUUCUAGACGAAACUAGAACUAGAAACUCUGCUUCCUGUCAGCUUCUCCUCCAUUUUUGACCAACUCAGGAAAUGGCCCUAGAUUUCAUUUGCUUCAAUCAAAAUUCAGGAAGUUGUGUUUAGCACUAUUCAGCAUAUAAGAAAAAGUUAUGACUCAGAAAAUUUCUUCACAGCUGUUCCAUGUGGUAGAAAUUAUUUCUUUUCCCUUCUACUACAUUUUAACUGGAGUUGAACUCUCCAACUGGAGUUAAAAAUUGCCUUGCUUAGUUGGCUAUAUGCCUAUCAAUUAUUCACAAUAACUUCCUUCCAUAAGUGUAAAUCUUCUUUCAAUACAUCCAAACACAUCGGGUGUGAUGUUGUCACGUUCUUGUGGCCAUCUCCCCGGAGCCCUCGGAUUGUCUCUUCAGUCAGGAACAGAAAGGUCAGCUGCACAGCUGUUGCCCUGAGAUUUUGUAUUCUAUAACCUUCUUUCUCUUGUGCUGAGCUCCCUCUUUCUUGGUUUCCAUUUAUUACUGUUUUCUGUUUCACUACUUCACUUUGGGGAGACCGCUCUUUCAAUAAUUUCCUGAGAAAUAGUCAAGGGAAAUCAAUUUUUUGAGGUCUUCCUUGUCUGAAAAACUUUGUUGUUCUAUCAUCAUAUGUAAGUGAUAUUUAUAUUUAGUAUAGAUUUAUAGGAUAGAAAUAAACUUUCCUCAAGUUUUGAAGGCAUAUUUCCAAUUUGGGAUUAAACUUCCAGGGCUGCAGGUAACCAUUUGGAUGCUAUUCAGAUUCCAUAUGCUUCGCAUGUGCCCUUAUUUUCUUUGUCUCUCUCUAAAACACUUUAACGUCUUAUCUUUGUGCCCAGUGUUGUAACAUUUCCUGAUCAUAUGCCUUGCGGUAGGUAUUUGUGUCAUUAAUUGUGGUAGGCAUUUGACAGAUCUUUUCAACCAGAAAACUCAAAGCACUUGAGUCUGUAAAAAUUUUUUAAUUUAAUUGUUUUGCUGGGUGGAGUACUGUACGAUUUGGAAUUCUUAUUACAUUCAACCUGUAGAACUAAUCCUGUUGUAUUUUUAAACUUUUCUAUUUAUCAUAUUUUAAACUUAUGAUUUGCUUUAUCGGUGAUUUCCGCAACUUUAGCUUGUAAGCCAUCUGUUAUGUACUGAAUUGUGUCCCCCAAAAUUCCUAACCUCCAGUUGAAGUCCUAACCCCAAGUGCCCCAGACCAUGACUAUAUUUAGAGAUACAGUCUUUAAGGAGGCAAUUAAAUUGAAAUGAGAAUAUUAGGGUAGACCCUAAUAAGAAGAUGAAAUAGGAACACAGAUAGCUAAAGACAUACAGAGAGAAGACCAAGUGAAGACACAGAGAGAAGACAGCCAUCUACAAGCCAAGGAGAGAGGCCUCAGAAGAAAUCCAACCCUGUGUACACCUUGAUCUUGGACUUCUAGCCUCCAGAACUGUGGUACACAUUGGAUGGCCAAGCUGGUCAUUAGUGAAAUGCAGUGGAUCCCUGACAUAAUGGUGAAAUUCAUCAAUAUAUGCAUUCCUGAGACUUCCCAACUCACUGUACUUUCUCUAAAAAGUCUUCAUGUUGACUCAUGAGGGCUCCAAUCUGAAAG